CGUCCUAUUUCCCCAUCAAAACUAUCUUAUCGUACUAGAUGGAGCCGGAACUUUGACAUCGUCGUAAGUAUCCACAAAACAAGAUCUCUCAACCUAUAUAUCUCCAAAUCUAAAGUUCUCAUUUACUUCUCCAUAUUUUUUGGUUUAAUCGAUUUACAAAUUAAACCGCUAGAAAACCAGUCAAACCAGAUAUAAAACAUAGUUUAAAACCCGAUUGACCUUAUAAACCCGACCCGGUCUAAGAAUUUUUAUAACCCGAUCAGAAAUUCUCAAACCUAAGAACCCUAAAAUCAUCAUUUUCUAAAAUCAUCAUUUUCUAAAAUCAUGAACACCGUCUCUUGCAUUGGGGCAAUAUGUUUCAGGUGGGUGCAUAAACCCAGCCAAUUUCCUACCAAACUCUCGCUUAUCCACCACUGGCGCCAAGAGAAGCCCUCGUGACUUCCACAUUCCAAUUUUAUCUUCAUUUCUGAUCGGAUUUGAUGUGUUCUUGGUUCAGUGAACCAUGAUUCCAAUCACCAGAACUUGAAUAAACCCAACUAAGAGUUUUGGAGCUGCAAUCGUCUAUAAAAAAGGACCACGUGAAUCUCCAUUAUAUACAACAAUUAUGAUUGAUCUUUUAUGUCAAUUUGGUUGAAUUGUUUAUUUGAUUUUUCUUGGAUGCAGUGGAUUUUCUGGGUUGGACGGACCAUUCAUCCGAGCAGCCUUCAUUAGCAUUCAAAAGCAGAAGCUGAUUUUUUUUUUUUGGGUUUUUAGAAGUUCACAGUUGCUUUAUCUUUGUUUGUAUUGAGCUUUGACAUUUUUGAGAUCUGGUCAUAUUUGUUUAAAUGGAUUUUUCUAUUUCUUC